GAAGAGAUUGUAGAGAAGGCAGAAAUCUCUUGCAGGAGAGUGUACCUUGUGACUUGGCUUGAGGUUUGAGCCACAGAAGACCCAGCCAGAGGCAAACAGCCUUCAGGAGGUGCUGGAGACAAGGGCCCCUGACACAAGAAGGUGCUAUGGGUGAGGAUGCACUGAGCCUUACUCCUGAGGGGAUAAAUUAUGCAUGUCUCACCCAGGCCUGCGGUCAGUGGGGUGGUACCGUCACAGGUCUGCAGCUCUGUGUGGCCCUAGGAAUGUUCAAAAUGCACAAAGGCCCCAACCGUCCAAGCCUCGGGCACGCAGGGUCUAGCACAAGGCGGGCUUGAUCCCUGUUGGGGCCCCUAGCUGUGGCCACAAUACAAAAUAACAACAGGAGCUGGGGACUUUGGAAAAUCCAGGAGCGAGGGGACGAGACUAGAGCCAGUCUAAGACUUAUGCCGAAUCUGCAGAGAAAGCCAAGCGUGAGAUUCUCCACAUUGCCUUGCUUCCAGUGCCCUCAGCUGUGGCCUGGAGGGGCUGCUUUCCCUAGAGCUGGCAGGUGAUGCCAGUUCAGCCCUGCUCCUUUCUCCAGUACAAAGGGCAAGCUGUGCUAAAUGUGGUGUUAUGAGAACUGAGCUGCAACGAGCAAACUUUGACCACUGAGUUUGAGCACGAACAAGGGAAGCAGGGGGCUGAGCUCUGUGCCGUCUCUGCUAGGUGGAGUCAUCCAGAAAACACAAUGCUGCAGUGUCUACUGGAGUGGAAGGAAAAUAAAGUCAGCAUUUAAAAACAUCCGCAGGCAAGAUUUUCAAAAGGACAAGUGAGGCUGAGUGCCUCAGGUUGUGGGGUGGCCAAUUGGAGAUGCCAUAAAGAGGGAGGUAGUGUUGCUCAAUGGGUAGUGCACCAGAAUGGGAUACAGGAGACCUGCAUUUUUUCCCUGGCCUGCUGGGUGACCUUGGUCAAGUCACUUUGCUACUUUGUGCCUCAAUUUCCCCAUAUGUAACUUCCUUUGACUGACUUCCUUUGUAAAUACUUCAAGACCCACCGACGAGAACAGCUAGGUAUUAUAAUAAAGGGGCCUGAGUUUCAGAGAGUGGGUGCUCAGUACUCUCUGCACAUCAGGCCUCAAAAGUGAGUAACUAAAGGCUGACAUCUUGGCCACUCAUAUUGGAUCUCCGCCUGACACCGAUUAUAUUUUACCAUUUCAAACAAACAGUGUCUGUACAACUCAGUUUCCUGUGCAUGGUGGGAAAGCACUUGCAGAUUUCUUUGCAACUGGAGUCAAUGAAGGGAUAAAAUAAAAGCAGGGGAAAAAAGGUGUUACGUUUAAUACUGUCUGCCGGGCUGCAAUCCAUGUCUGUUUCUGGCUGCUUCUUCCUGUGUGGCAGUAUUGUAAUAGGAUUCUCCCAUAUUAAUAUUUUAAAUGAAUAAAUAAAUAUCUGAUGAGAGAUACUGUGCAUCUUGACAACCUUUUCAUAAAAUCUGGGAGGAAAAAAAGGUGAGAAAAUUAAAGAAAAGAUUGAAA